rnacentral:rRNA from 1 species
AUUGAACGCUGGCGGCAGGCCUAACACAUGCAAGUCGAGCGGCAGCGGGAAAGUAGCUUGCUACUUUCGCCGGCGAGCGGCGGACGGGUGAGUAAUGCCUGGGAAAUUGCCCAGUCGAGGGGGAUAACAGUUGGAAACGACUGCUAAUACCGCAUACGCCCUACGGGGGAAAGCAGGGGACCUUCGGGCCUUGCGCGAUUGGAUAUGCCCAGGUGGGAUUAGCUAGUUGGUGAGGUAAUGGCUCACCAAGGCGACGAUCCCUAGCUGGUCUGAGAGGAUGAGCAGCCAAACUGGAACUGAGAACCGGUCCAGACUCCUACGGGAGGCAGCAGUGGGGAAUAUUGCACAAUGGGGGAAACCCUGAUGCAGCCAUGCCGCGUGUGUGAAGAAGGCCUUCGGGUUGUAAAGCACUUUCAGCGAGGAGGAAAGGUUGAUGCCCAAUACGUAUCAACUGUGACGUUACUCGCAGAAGAAGCACCGGCUAACUCCGUGCCAGCAGCCACCGUAAGAC